UACGUAGGGUGCAAGCGUUGUCCGGAAUUAUUGGGCGUAAAGAGCUUGUAGGCGGUUUGUCGCGUCGUGCUAGUCGAAAUCCCGACGCGUCAACCUCGGGUCUGCAGUCGAUAACGAGCAAACUAGAGUGUUGCAGGGGGAAGUACCUGGGAAUUCCUGGGUGUAGCGGUAGAAAUGCGCAGAUAUCAGGAGGAACACCGGUGGCGAAGGCGGGUCUCUGGGCCGUAACUGACGCUGAGGAGCGAAAGCGUGGGGAGCGAACAGG
rnacentral:rRNA from 1 species